AUGAAAAACUAAGGGCAAAAUUUACUCAAAAGAAGCCCUUUGGCGACAUUUUGCCCAAUCCAUUAUACAAAAAUGCAAACCUCUACCGCCCAAAUCAAAGUAACAAAGAAGCUCAGGAAAUAUGAUAUCGCAAAACCUCCUGCAAUCAACCACCCAAAAAUGCACGACAGGCUGCCCGAUCCUCGACCGCUUACUCCGCGGCGGCAUCCCUUGUGACUCGAUAACCGAGAUCGUCGCCGAGAGUGGUUCCGGCAAGACGCAAAUCUGCCUCCAACUAUCACUCCAUGCCCAACUCCCAGUUUCCCAUGGUGGUCUCUCCGCCUCCGCUCUCUAUCUCCACACCGAGUUCCCAUUCCCCUUUCGGCGCCUUCACCAACUCUCCCUUUCAUUUCGCUCCUCAAACGCCCGCCAUUUGCCCUGUAAUGACAACCCCUGUGAUCGUGUAUAUGUCCAAAGUGUACACUCUGCUGAUGAACUGCUCGAAAUAAUGUCUAAAACAGAGUCUUUCAUUGAAAGUUCGAAAACCCAGCUGCCUGUUCGGCUCAUUGUGAUUGAUUCAAUCGCUGCUUUGUUUAGGUCCGAGUUUGACAACACCCCAGUUGAGCUUAAGAGGAGAUCGUCCUUGUUCUUUAAGAUAUCUUCGAUGUUAAAGGCAUUAGCGAGGAGGUUUAAUUUAGCGGUUUUGUUGACGAAUCAGGUGGUUGAUAUGGUGGGGCCUAAUGAGGGGAUAAAUGGGUUGAGGAUUGGGAAUUUAGGAUGUUUAUAUACGUCAGGUAGGCGGGUUUGUCCUGCAUUGGGGUUAGCUUGGGCUAAUUGUGUUAAUUCAAGGUUGUUCUUAUCGAGACACGAAGAGGUUAAUCGUGAAGAGAACGGGAAAUUAAUUGGGGAAAGUGGUGGUUUUGUGUGUAAGCAAACAAGGAGAAAGCUUUAUGUUGUUUUCGCGCCCCAUUUGCCUGAAUCAUCUUGUGAGUUUGUAAUCACCAGAGAAGGGCUUUUUGGCGUCGAAAUCACUGCCUGUUGAUUUUGGACGAGAAGAGAUCAUCUGGAGGUAGCUAUGUGGAAUAUUAUUUAUGAUUAGACUUUAGAAGAUAGAAGUAUUUACACUCUUUUUGCAUUUUUACUCAGUUUAAUCUCUCAUUUUUGGUGUUUAUCAUAUGUCACUCCACAAUGAUGUUUCCAGAGAAUCUUGUUCAGGUUUCCCUUCAAGUGCAAGUUUGAUUACACAAUGGAAAGAGAUCGAUCUUGAAUGUAUCGUCGACUAAUUCCUGAUGGAUUCAUAAGGGAUGAAUUUAUGAUUUGGGCAAGAUACGUGAGGAUAUACCUGAUGAAAUUAAGGAGAAUAAUGAUGACAUGAUGGCAAGAAAUGAAAGAAAUAAUGAUGGAUAGUAUGAAGGAAUUUAUGACAUGUUUUGGAAGUAAUGAUUGUGAGUUAUGCGCUUUCAAAACAAGGACAUACAGAUCAUUAGCUUAGUUGGCAUGACCUUUGUGGAGGAGACAUAUUUCAUACUUGGUAUGUGUACUAGAGUCCUUUUUUCAAACCUUUAAUGUCGGUCACACUCGACAGUGGGUCCAUUAUGUUUUACUUUAUCAUGUUAAGACAUAUGUUAUGUAGCCAAUGAUGGCAAUAUUCAUGAUUACUUCUUUAUGAUAUGAGAUGUUUAUGCUAAGCACCAAGAGGGGUGUAGACAAUUUGUGAUACCUAUGGUAGUAAGGCCAUGGAUGAUAUGAGCACCAAAAUGUGCGAAUUAUGAGCACUGAAGAGUGCA